AUGUUCAAACAUGCAUUACAAGCUGUUGCAUACCUCAGCGAAGACAAAAUCACUGCCAAAGUGGAGCUCUUGAAGAAAACAUUCACGUGGACGGAUGCUGAGGUGGGCAUUGCUGUUUCUAAGGGUCCAGCAGUGUUGUCCAGGACUAAAGAAUCGCUGCAGCGCAGGUCCGAGUUCCUUAUCUCCGAGUUGGGAUUGGAACCAGCAUACAUUGCUUAUCGUCCAGCAUUGCUCACUUAUAGUCUAGAGGGCCGGCUCAGGCCCCGGUACUACAUUGUAAAGUUUCUUAAGGAAAAUGGAUUGCUCAAGUGUGACCCAAACUACUAUACUGUUUUUAAGGAGUCCGACAUGACAUUCAAGAAGAAGUUCAUACACCCUCAUAAGGAAGCUGUACCACACCUUGAAAAAGACUACGAUGCUGCUUGCAAAGGGGAAGUGCCCACUAAUUUCAGAUUCACAUAA
rnacentral:rRNA from 1 species